GCGGCGGUAGCUCAAUGCAGAGCGGCGGUCUCCAAAACCGCGGGCUGCAGGUUCGACUCCUGCCCGUCGUGCCA
rnacentral:tRNA from 1 species